AACGAACGUUAGCGGCGCGCCUAACACAUGCAAGUCGAGCGAGAAGGAAGCAAUUCCUGUAAAGCGGCGCACGGGUGAGUAACACGUAGGUAAUCUACCUCGAAGUGGUGGAUAACCUUCCGAAAGGAGGGCUAAUACAGCAUGAGACCACGGUUUCGAAAGAGAUUGAGGUCAAAGCGGGCCACUAUACAUAAGCUCGCGCUUCGAGAUGAGCCUGCGGCCCACUCAUGGUAGGUUGGUAGGGUAAGUAGGCCUACCAAGCCGAAGACGGGUAGCUGGUCUGAGAGGAUGAUCAGCCACACUGGAAC
rnacentral:rRNA from 1 species